rnacentral:rRNA from 1 species
UACGUAGGGUGCAAGCGUUAAUCGGAAUUACUGGGCGUAAAGCGUGCGCAGGCGGCGAGGUAAGACCGAUGUGAAAUCCCCGGGCUUAACCUGGGAACUGCAUUGGUGACUGCAUUGCUAGAGUAUGGCAGAGGGGGGUGGAAUUCCCGGUGUAGUGGUGGAAUGCGUAGAUAUCGGGAGGAACACCAGUGGCGAAGGCGGUUGCCUGGAGCUUUGCUGACGCUGAUGCGCGAAAGCGUGGGGAGCGAUCCGG